AAGAUUAAGCCAUGCAUGUCUAAGUAUAAACAAAUUCAUACUGUGAAACUGCGAAUGGCUCAUUAAAUCAGUUAUAGUUUAUUUGAUGGUAUCUUGCUACAUGGAUAACUGUGGUAAUUCUAGAGCUAAUACAUGCUGAAAAGCCCCGACUUCUGGAAGGGGUGUAUUUAUUAGAUAAAAAACCUUCGAGCUUCGGCUCUCAUGGUGAUUCAUAAUAACUUCUCGAAUCGCAU
rnacentral:rRNA from 1 species